rnacentral:tRNA from 1 species
AAAAAUUUAGUUAAAUAUAUAACGUUAGUUUGUCAAACUAAAAUUAAUAAUAUUAUUAGUUUUUU